UAAGGAAUAUUGGUCAAUGGACGCAAGUCUGAACCAGCCAUGCCGCGUGAAGGAUUAAGGUCCUCUGGAUUGUAAACUUCUUUUUAUCUGGGACGAAAAAAGGCGAUUCUUCGUCACUUGACGGUACCAGAUGAAUAAGCACCGGCUAACUCCGUGCCAGCAGCCGCGGUAAUACGGAGGGUGCAAGCGUUAUCCGGAUUCACUGGGUUUAAAGGGUGCGUAGGCGGGCAGGUAAGUCAGUGGUGAAAUCCUGGAGCUUAACUCCAGAACUGCCAUUGAUACUAUCUGUCUUGAAUAUUGUGGAGGUAAGCGGAAUAUGUCAUGUAGCGGUGAAAUGCUUAGAUAUGACAUAGAACACCUAUUGCGAAGGCAGCUUACUACGCAUAUAUUGACGCUGAGGCACGAAAGCGUGGGGAUCAAACAGGAUUAGAUACCCUGGUAGUCCACGCCCUAAACGAUGGAUACUCGACAUACGCGAUACACUGUGUGUGUCUGAGCGAGAGCAUUAAGUAUCCCCACCUGGGAAGUACGACCGCAAGGUUGAAACUUAAAGGAAUUGACGGGGUCAUAGCUGUUUCCU
rnacentral:rRNA from 1 species